rnacentral:rRNA from 1 species
UCGAGCGAGGCGGGUAGCAAUACCUAGUCGAGCGGCGAACGGGUGAGGUAACGCGUGUGAUACCUUGCCCCUCGAUGGUGGGGGAUACCCUGGAGAAAUUCGGGCUAAUACCGCAUACCGACUGUGAGGUCAAAGGGGGCUCGCAAGGGCUCUCGACCAUAGGAGGGGUCCGGUCCGAUUAGCUAGUUGGUAGGGUCAAUGGGCUACCAAGGCGACGAUCGGUCAGCCGGCCUGAGAGGGUGAUCGGCACAUCUGGAACUGAGACACGGUCCAGAGUCCUACGGGAGGCAGCAGUGGGGAAUCUUGCGCAAUGGGCUGAAAGCCUGACGCA